rnacentral:rRNA from 1 species
AUUGAACGCUGGCGGCAUGCCUUACACAUGCAAGUCGAACGGCAGCGCGGGAGCAAUCCUGGCGGCGAGUGGCGAACGGGUGAGUAAUAUAUCGGAACGUGCCCAGUAGUGGGGGAUAGCCCGGCGAAAGCCGGAUUAAUACCGCAUGAGACCUGAGGGUGAAAGCGGGGGAUCGCAAGACCUCGCGCUAUUGGAGCGGCCGAUAUCAGAUUAGCUAGUUGGUGGGGUAAAGGCCUACCAAGGCAACGAUCUGUAGUUGGUCUGAGAGGACGACCAGCCACACUGGGACUGAGACACGGCCCAGACUCCUACGGGAGGCAGCAGUAGGGAAUAUUGGACAAUGGGGGCAACCCUGAUCCAGCCAUGCCGCGUGAGUGAAGAAGGCCCUCGGGUUGUAAAGCUCUUUUGUCCGGAAAGAAAGCAAUCGGUUAAUACCCGGUUGUUCUGACGGUACCGGAAGAUAAGCACCGGCUAACUUCGUGCCAGCAGCCGCGGUAA